rnacentral:tRNA from 1 species
UUAAUUGAAGCCAAAAAGAGGCUUAUUAUUGUUAAUAAUAAAACUGAAGAAAAUUCCAAUUAAG